AUCUCUCUCUAAAAUAUCAUUCUCUCUCUAAAAUCUCUCUCUCUCUCUCAUAUUUAUCCCUUUAUUGUUCGCGCAGGCAAACAAAUUCAACUUCAUCCCUUUCCCCGCCUUCCAUGUUAGAGAGCGUGCGUAUACCCUUAAAUGAGAGAGAGAUAGAGCAGGGUAGAGAGAGAAGGGGAAGAGAGCUAGAGAGAGAGAGGCCUAGAGAGAGAAAGAGAUGCCACUUUUAGGCCAUUGUUGGAUGAACUGCACCUUUGAGUGAAUAAUCCAUUGGAGAUUUUUAGAGAGAGAAAAUGGUUUCAGACUCAGAGUUGGUCGAGAGGCUCAAAGAAUUCUUGAGCACAGCUGACCUCAACACCACAACCAACUCCACUGUUCGCAAACAUCUCGAGAAUGAGUUUGGAGUUGAUCUUUCUGAGAAAAAAGCAUUUAUCAGAGACCAAAUAAACCUAUAUUUUGACAGUUUAGAGGGCAAUGAGGAGACCAAAGAGGAAGGAAGAGAUCCCUCUGAAUCAGAAGGUGAAGAGGAUAGAGCGGUGGAAGAAGAGGAGGAGAAAGGAAAGGGCAGUAAAAGACGAAUGAGCAAAGAUAAGAAGAGAACUGGCGGAGGUGGAUUUUCAAAACCAUGUGGUCUUUCUCCAGAGCUUCAAGCAUUCAUGGGUGUCUCUGUGUUACCCCGAACUGAGGUUGUCAAGAGAAUUUGGGCACAUAUUCGUGAACACAAUUUGCAAGACCCGGCAAACAAGCGGAAUAUUAUUUGUGAUGAACAAUUACGUUCUCUAUUUGAUGUUGAUUCUAUUGGCAUGUUUCAAAUGAACAAGGUUCUAUCAAAACAUAUACUCCCGUUAGCUACAGAAAAUGGUCCAGAUGUGUCAGUACCAAAGGUAAAACCAGAUGUGUCAGUACCAAAGGUGAAACGACAAAAACAAGAGAAAGGUCAAGGGGGAAAAGGUUCAGCUUUACUUGCACCUCUUCCGCUUUCAGAUGCCCUCAUAAAGUUUAUUGGUACUGGUGAAAAUGCACUACCACGUAGUGAAGUUAUUAAAAGAAUAUGGAACCACAUAAAACAGAAUGAACUUCAGGACCCUUCCGACAAGAGGAGAAUCAUCUGUGACAAGAAGCUGAAGGAAUUGUUAGAAGUUGACACGUUCAAUGGCUUUAGCGUAGCAAAGCUGUUGGCCCCGCAUUUCAUUAAAACCGAAUAGUGAUCAGCCCCUUGCAGUGCUGCUUGCACAAAAAGAGCAAGCACAUGCGAGUUUUGUUAGUAUGAGAGAUUAAGUUGAAAGGAAAUUCAGGGAAUCUGGAAAUUGUUGCCUAUAUCUUGAGCAAAUGUCAUGACAUUCUCUUUAUUCUGUUGUUUUUGUGUUUCCAAUUUGUUUUUUGCCGUCUUACAGGUGCUGGUCCCCUAUAAAUUUAAGAAUUAUCUUUUAACUUCUUUUAUAGCCAAUUAAGGGCAAUUAUAUCAGUUCUUGUUCAGUGAAUAUGCCAAUUUAUUUGAUCUCAUUUUCUUUCUCUUCUGCAUUUAUUAGGACAUGAUGUAUAGGUUGUGUUGGAUGAGCUCCUGGAAAUAUUUUGUUGUUUAUAAAUAUAUAUGCCUGACAAA